CCUACGGGAGGCAGCAGUAGGGAAUCUUUCACAAUGUGCGAAAGCCUGAUGGAGCAACGCCGCGUGCAGGAUGAAGGCCUUCGGGUUGUAAACUGCUUUUAUAAGCGAGAAAUAUGAUGGUAACUUAUGAAUAAGGAUCGGCUAACUACGUGCCAGCAGCCGCGGUCAUACGUAGGAUCCGAGCAUUAUCCGGAGUGACUGGGUGUAAAGAGUUGCGUAGGUGGCAUAAUAAGUAGCUAGUGAAAUCUGGUGGCUCAACCAUUCAGACUAUUAGCUAAACUGUUAAGCUCGAGACCGUUAGGGGUAACUGGAAUUUCUAGUGUAGGAGUGAAAUCCGUAGAUAUUAGAAGGAACACCAAUAGCGUAGGCAGGUUGCUGGGACGGUUCUGACACUAAGGCACGAAAGCGUAGGGAGCAAACGGGAUUAGAUACCCCAGUAGUC
rnacentral:rRNA from 1 species